rnacentral:rRNA from 1 species
UUAAGUUAUUAAGGGCGCACGGUGGAUGCCUUGGCACUAGAAGCCGAUGAAGGACGUUACUAACGACGAUAUGCUUUGGGGAGCUGUAAGUAAGCUUUGAUCCAGAGAUUUCCGAAUGGGGAAACCCAGCAUGAGUUAUGUCAUGUUAUCGAUAUGUGAAUACAUAGCAUAUCAGAAGGCACACCCGGAGAACUGAAACAUCUUAGUACCCGGAGGAAGAGAAAGAAAAUUCGAUUCCCUUAGUAGCGGCGAGCGAAACGGGAAGAGCCCAAACCAAAAAGCUUGCUUGUUGGGGUUGUAGGACACUCUAUACGGAGUUACAAAGGACGACAUUAGACGAAUCAUCUGGAAAGAUGAAUCAAAGAAGGUAAUAAUCCUGUAGUCGAAAAUGUUGUCUCUCUUGAGUGGAUCCUGAGUACGACGGAGCACGUGAAAUUCCGUCGGAAUCUGGGAGGACCAUCUCCUAAGGCUAAAUACUCUCUAGUGACCGAUAGUGAACCAGUACCGUGAGGGAAAGGUGAAAAGCACCCCGGAAGGGGAGUGAAAUAGAACCUGAAACCGUGUGCUUACAAGUAGUCAGAGCCCGUUAAUGGGUGAUGGCGUGCCUUUUGUAGAAUGAACCGGCGAGUUACGAUUUGAUGCAAGGUUAAGCAGUAAAUGUGGAGCCGUAGCGAAAGCGAGUCUGAAUAGGGCGUUUAGUAUUUGGUCGUAGACCCGAAACCAGGUGAUCUACCCUUGGUCAGGUUGAAGUUCAGGUAACACUGAAUGGAGGACCGAACCGACUUACGUUGAAAAGUGAGCGGAUGAACUGAGGGUAGCGGAGAAAUUCCAAUCGAACCUGGAGAUAGCUGGUUCUCUCCGAAAUAGCUUUAGGGCUAGCCUCAAGUGAUGAUUAUUGGAGGUAGAGCACUGUUUGGACGAGGGGCCCCUCUCGGGUUACCGAAUUCAGACAAACUCCGAAUGCCAAUUAAUUUAACUUGGGAGUCAGAACAUGGGUGAUAAGGUCCGUGUUCGAAAGGGAAACAGCCCAGACCACCAGCUAAGGUCCCAAAAUAUAUGUUAAGUGGAAAAGGAUGUGGCGUUGCCCAGACAACUAGGAUGUUGGCUUAGAAGCAGCCAUCAUUUAAAGAGUGCGUAAUAGCUCACUAGUCGAGUGACACUGCGCCGAAAAUGUACCGGGGCUAAACAUAUUACCGAAGCUGUGGAUUGUCCUUUGGACAAUGGUAGGAGAGCGUUCUAAGGGCGUUGAAGCAUGAUCGUAAGGACAUGUGGAGCGCUUAGAAGUGAGAAUGCCGGUGUGAGUAGCGAAAGACGGGUGAGAAUCCCGUCCACCGAUUGACUAAGGUUUCCAGAGGAAGGCUCGUCCGCUCUGGGUUAGUCGGGUCCUAAGCUGAGGCCGACAGGCGUAGGCGAUGGAUAACAGGUUGAUAUUCCUGUACCACCUAUAAUCGUUUUAAUCGAUGGGGGGACGCAGUAGGAUAGGCGAAGCGUGCGAUUGGAUUGCACGUCUAAGCAGUAAGGCUGAGUAUUAGGCAAAUCCGGUACUCGUUAAGGCUGAGCUGUGAUGGGGAGAAGACAUUGAGUCUUCGAGUCGUUGAUUUCACACUGCCGAGAAAAGCCUCUAGAUAGAAAAUAGGUGCCCGUACCGCAAACCGACACAGGUAGUCAAGAUGAGAAUUCUAAGGUGAGCGAGCGAACUCUCGUUAAGGAACUCGGCAAAAUGACCCCGUAACUUCGGGAGAAGGGGUGCUCUUUAGGGUUAACGCCCAGAAGAGCCGCAGUGAAUAGGCCCAAGCGACUGUUUAUCAAAAACACAGGUCUCUGCUAAACCGUAAGGUGAUGUAUAGGGGCUGACGCCUGCCCGGUGCUGGAAGGUUAAGAGGAGUGGUUAGCUUCUGCGAAGCUACGAAUCGAAGCCCCAGUAAACGGCGGCCGUAACUAUAACGGUCCUAAGGUAGCGAAAUUCCUUGUCGGGUAAGUUCCGACCCGCACGAAAGGCGUAACGAUUUGGGCACUGUCUCAACGAGAGACUCGGUGAAAUCAUAGUACCUGUGAAGAUGCAGGUUACCCGCGACAGGACGGAAAGACCCCGUGGAGCUUUACUGUAGCCUGAUAUUGAAAUUCGGCACAGCUUGUACAGGAUAGGUAGGAGCCUUUGAAACGUGAGCGCUAGCUUACGUGGAGGCGCUGGUGGGAUACUACCCUAGCUGUGUUGGCUUUCUAACCCGCACCACUUAUCGUGGUGGGAGACAGUGUCAAGCGGGCAGUUUGACUGGGGCGGUCGCCUCCUAAAAGGUAACGGAGGCGCUCAAAGGUUCCCUCAGAAUGGUUGGAAAUCAUUCAUAGAGUGUAAAGGCAUAAGGGAGCUUGACUGCGAGACCUACAAGUCGAGCAGGGUCGAAAGACGGACUUAGUGAUCCGGUGGUUCCGCAUGGAAGGGCCAUCGCUCAACGGAUAAAAGCUACCCCGGGGAUAACAGGCUUAUCUCCCCCAAGAGUUCACAUCGACGGGGAGGUUUGGCACCUCGAUGUCGGCUCAUCGCAUCCUGGGGCUGUAGUCGGUCCCAAGGGUUGGGCUGUUCGCCCAUUAAAGCGGUACGCGAGCUGGGUUCAGAACGUCGUGAGACAGUUCGGUCCCUAUCCGUCGUGGGCGUAGGAAAUUUGAGAGGAGCUGUCCUUAGUACGAGAGGACCGGGAUGGACAUACCUCUGGUGUACCAGUUGUCGUGCCAACGGCAUAGCUGGGUAGCUAUGUGUGGACGGGAUAAGUGCUGAAAGCAUCUAAGCAUGAAGCCCCCCUCAAGAUGAGAUUUCCCAACUUCGGUUAUAAGAUCCCUCAAAGAUGAUGAGGUUAAUAGGUUCGAGGUGGAAGCAUGGUGACAUGUGGAGCUGACGAAUACUA